CCCUUCUUAGCUCAGUUGGAAGAGCGCAAGACUGUAAUGGGUUUCUCUUGUCAUCUUGAGGUCUCUGGGUAGGUUCUCUCGCCUCUCAACAUGUCUACACUCGUCACUAACCUGUCAACGUCAGUUCGAUCCCGGAAGAAGGGA